GCAAUGUAGCAUCAGCAGUGAAAAGGCCAUUUAAUUUCAUGGCAAAUUUUCCUUGUCCACCUUCACUCAUUAUUGGGAAGGAUGGGGAUUUGUGGCCAGCGUAUUCCUUAAACACCACUAAGGAUUCCCAACCUCCUCACAAGGCCCAUCCUAUAUGGAAAUGGCAGCUGGGCGGUUCUGCAAUACCUCUUCCACCUAGUCACAAAUUCAGGAAAUUUAAUUCAUAAAAAAAUGUUUUGGAAGAUAUUUUCUCGAACCAUAUUACCUUCCUUUUGUUGUAAACUGCACAGGAUGGCUUGUACCAAGUCCAUUAAUGGUGUUACACCCCUUUUGGAGUCCUGGUUUAUCGCAUUUUGAAGACAAAAAUCGGAUUACUUUUUUUUCCCAUUGCGGGUUGUUUUUUUUUUUUUUUUAUGGUGGGGGAGGGGUGGGAGAAGGGUUGGUUUACAUACCACAGACUACUUCAGGCUAAAGACUCAAGUAACACUCAGUUAUUAUGGUAGAGCUGGAACACUUUACUGUUUCAAUGGUAAUAAUGCACCGGUACCUCAAUUCAACUGCUACAAAUAAAUGUCAAAAGGUUGAAUAAUAAAUAUCACAAUGAGCCAUUAAGUUUAUGCACUAGAUUUCAGACCUGAAAGUGUAACUGGUAUUCAGUGAAAGUUUGUUAGGUUACAUGGUUACACAAUGAGGUAGCAAGAAGUUUCUGUGAGCCCAAAUGUAAUUUUCUGGAGCUCUUAUUUGUGGGGUGUCUUUUUUAUUUUUUUUCUAAACCCAGAUUCCCUUUCCAAUAGUAGUUGCACUUAACUGUUUUUUUGUUUUGUUUUGUUUUGUUUUUUAAUGGAAAGAUUGGGGGUCUGAGUCCUGAUUGGAUGCUGAUUUAAAAGCUGCCCAUUGUGUGAGAAGUAAAAAAAUACUUUUUUUUUUUUAACCUUUACAGUCACUCCUUGCAACUGGAAAAGCCCCUUCUGCGCUCUCACCCAAACAUUUAAAAUAGGAUGACUCUUGCUGUGCUCCUGCUUGUCUUCUGAUCUGAAGAUAACUCUUCAAGCUUUCAAAACAAUUAAAACAUUUCUCUUAAUAGCAGGAUGUUUAAUGGUCUAACUCAUCCUAGUGUCCAAGCAGUAAAUACAACCAAGAAAAAGAGUCAUAACACCCCAAGUGAAAAAUAACUGAUUUCAGGGCUUUUUGGUAUUAGAACUCAGGCACUUGGAUUUUAUUACCUUAUGCUUUUUUUUUUCUGCAUCUCUCUAAACUUCUGUUUCAGGCCAUCCUGUGUAUAGAACAGGAGAGUUUCUACUGCAAGUGACAAUCAGAGGUGACUAUCUAUAUUUGCACUUAAAAUCAAAGUAGUUCCACAGGCAAGUGGUCUAGCCCUUGGUGAGGCCAUGCUGGUGGACUGUGUUGUAAAGAUGAGAGCAGUAAAUCAAAAUUAUGGAAAUUUGCACUGUUGAAAAGCAUGCUUUAGCUUUAUUUUCAAUUAAAAACACUGUUUAAAAUUCCUGGUUCCAUACAUUUCUACUUAUUCCAGAUUGAAGAAGGGUUAACAAGAAUGAAUGGCUUUGUUGACAUUUUCACUUGUAAUGUUUUUGCCUGAAAGAAAUGCAUUUAUUGGGUGCAGUGUUUUGUGGUAAUACUUUGUGAUGAGACCAAUCAGGUUCUGGGCACAACACUGGCAAACUUCCUCUCAAAUAACAGAAAAACUUUUCAAACUUGUUAUAGGCCAACUAUUAAAAAGUUUCAUAUCUAAGAAAGUGAAGCAUAAAUCAGUUGUUAUUUUAACGAAAGUUGUAUCUAGUAAUUUUUGGGUCACCAAAUUAUGUAUCUUAGAUCCUGGUUAUCUUUAGUCUAAGAAGUUGCAUCUACAGACCAUAAAUCACAAAGCAAAACAAAACACCACUAAGAUGUUUACUGUGUGAAUUUAAAGCAUUAUUUCUCAUGGAAAUUCAGCUAUUUAUUUUCCUUAACCUUUUAAUUCCUACCCCCCUUUGAAAUUUUCCCCUUGACUAUAAAUGUUUCAGAUAGUUCUGGAUGGUCUCAGACCUAAUUGCUGUGUAUUAUCUGUGGUUUUCCUCCUGUUGUAAAGGACAGAGGCUGAGAAUACCUGCAUCCAAAUACAUUUGGAUAGAG
rnacentral:lncRNA from 1 species